CUUUAUUAAAUUUAUUUAAUUUUCAAAUUUAAAUUUAUCUUAAUUAAUAUAUACACUUGUAAACUUGUCUUUGUUUAUUUUAAUUAAUUAAUUAAUUAUUAUUUAUGUUAUGUUGGGAUUUUUUUUUCUGACUUUAUUUCUGCCGCUUGCCAAGGACGUAAACGUUUUUCUAAAGUCAGGCAAUUUUGGAGUACUAUGGAAGGACAUAAUAACAACUCGCAUGCUAUUCAUACUAUUAUUGACAACGAGAAUUUAAUUGAGUAGUAGGUUCCUAGAUGGAUGCAACUGGAUAUAUCAAAAAAAUGUUUUUUAUUGUAAUUCCAGUAUAUAAUUAAGAUAUUCAAUUUAUAAAUGAUAAUUGUAAUGAAGUUAUAGAUAAAUAAAUAUUUGUAAUAAAUUAUAAAUAAGUAUUCGGGUGCUUAUAAAUAAUCUAUUGUUGAUAAUUUGUGUAUUAUAUUAUAAUGGAAUUCAGUUUUGUAGUUAUGUAUUUUAGAAAAAUUUUCUUGGUAUAAGGAAUGCAAUAAAUGUAUAUUUAUAUAAUAUUUA